AUGAUGGUAUCCAACAAAUUAUGAUGGAUGUAAAUGUUUUAAUUAGCAAUGGGAUCGAUGUUGAAGAAAGUCAACCAGUAAGGUGUACUAAUUUACCAAGCAUAGUUCAGGACAAGCCUUCCUUUGUCAAUAACACUAAAGUUCUUUGACGGCAUGAAAAAAUCAGUGAACAUUCUGAAAUGGUUUAUUACUGUUUUGGGCUACCAGUUUAAGCACCAAAAUCCUGGCUGAAUGAAUUUGACCUGUCACACCAAUUACCAUUAAGAACUAGUUGUUCUUCUAAUAUUUUAUUCUCCAAUGGAUAACUAUAAUUUCAACAAAUUGAUGAAUAAUGAAUCUUGAGCAAACGUAUGGUUAAAGUUGGAGCAGAAAUUGAAUAAAUUGAACAUACAGAAACAACUACACAUGAAGAAAUAACAUUUUGGAAAGAAACAUUGAAAAAGUAUUUAAUCAAUGGUAAUAGAGUAAUUGUUAGGGGAAUAUCUUCUAUAAAAAAAUCAAGAGGACCUUGGUAAUGAAAAAAAAGAAAAAAUACAAGAACGACAAAAAAACAUUAUGGAAAGAGAGUUUGAAAAAAAAGUUGAAUUAUCAAAUGCACAAAUUGAAUGUGAGACAAGACGACCCAAAGAACUUUUAAUAUCGCUUAAUAUUCCUAAUGUUGAAAACAUACAGUUCUAUUCAUUUAAUACAUUCACAACAAAUUCUAUUGAUGAACACUAUUUAUUUAAAAUAACUUUGCACCCAUUUACAUAUGUACAUUUUUAUUAAUAUAAAUUAUCAAUACCAAUGAUUUACCUAUGAAUCUCCAAACAAAUAUACCAAUUAUGGUUUAUUUGUUAAUGACAACAACAGUCAAUUGUGAUGCUAUUUCCUCCAUGAAUACGAUUUUAUUGAAAAGUCACAUACGAAAAAAAGCACCGGAGACUUCAUUUAAUGUGUUGAAAUUCAGAAAUAGGAACGCCAUCAUCUCAAUUUUUAUGUGAACAUUUUUUUCUGUUAUUUCAUUAUUCUUUCAAUUUGAACCGAAGAAAUUCCAUAAAAGCAUCAAGUGGCUGCAUAAAUUUUUGUUCAAUAUAGAAAAUGUUCUGUAAUCUUUAAAAUUGCUGAAAGAGAAAAGUCAAUAGGCGACUUAGAAAAACAAUCUGUAUUGUUUCAUUUAAGAAAUUUGUUGCCGGAUUAUAAUCGAAUGGAUAUUGACAUGCCCAUAUACAAAUCACUGGACAGCCAUAUACUCAAUGAUGCUGCUUAGAUCUAAUAAUUAUUUAAAUACUAUUGAUAUUAUUUCAAUUUCAUAUUUUUUUUUUCAGAAUACCCGUUUUAUUUUUAACUGACCAUAAUCCAUAAUUUCUUU